AAAGCCACUAAGCUUCAGCUACACACGACCGUACCGCAAACCGACACUGGUGCGCGAGAUGAGUAUUCUAAGGCGCUUGAGAGAACUCGGGAGAAGGAACUCGGCAAAUUGACACCGUAACUUCGGAAGAAGGUGUGCCCUAGUAGUGUGAAGUGAACAACGGAGCAUGAAUGGGUUGCAAAAAAUCGGUGGCUGCGACUGUUUAUUAAAAACACAGCACUCUGCAAACACGAAAGUGGACGUAUAGGGUGUGACGCCUGCCCGGUGCUGGAAGAUUAAAUGAUGGGGUGCAAGCUCUUGAUUGAAGUCCCAGUAAACGGCGGCCGUAACAAUAACGGUCCUAAGGUAGCGAAAUUCCUUGUCGGGUAAGUUCCGACCUGCACGAAUGGCGUAACGAUGGCCACACUGUCUCCUCCCGAGACUCAGCGAAGUUGAAAUGUUUGUGAUGAUGCAAUCUCCCCGCGGAAAGACGGAAAGACCCCAUGAACCUUUACUGUAGCUUUGUAUUGGACUUUGAACAGAUCUGUGUAGGAUAGGUGGGAGGCUUUGAAGCAGGGUCGCUAGAUCUUGUGGAGCCAACGUUGAAAUACCACCCUGGUGUGUUUGAGGUUCUAACCUAGGUCCAUUAUCUGGAUCGGGGACAGUGCAUGGUAGGCAGUUUGACUGGGGCGGUCUCCUCCCAAAGCGUAACGGAGGAGUUCGAAGGUACGCUAGUUACGGUCGGACAUCGUGACGAUAGUGCAAUGGCAUAAGCGUGCUUAACUGCGUACUGACAAGUCGAGCAGAUGCGAAAGCAGGACAUAGUGAUCCGGUGGUUCUGUAUGGAAUGGCCAUCGCUCAACGGAUAAAAGGUACUCUGGGGAUAACAGGCUGAUACCGCCCAAGAGUUCAUAUCGACGGCGGUGUUUGGCACCUCGAUGUCGGCUCAUCUCAUCCUGGGGCUGUAGCCGGUCCCAAGGGUAUGGCUGUUCGCCAUUUAAAGAGGUACGUGAGCUGGGUUUAAAACGUCGUGAGACAGUUUGGUCCCUAUCUUCCGUGGGCGCUGCAGAUUUGAGGAAGCCUGCUCCUAGUACGAGAGGACCGGAGUGGACGCACCUCUGGUGUAUCGGUUGUCACGCCAGUGGCAUUGCCGAGUAGCUAUGUGCGGAAGAGAUAACCGCUGAAAGCAUCUAAGCGGGAAACUCGUUCCAAGAUGAGAUCUGCCGGGGCCUUGAGCCCCCUAAAGAGUCGUUCAAGACCAGGACGUUGAUAGGUCAGGUGUGGAAGCGCAGUAAUGCGUUAAGCUAACUGAUACUAAUUGCUCGUGCGGCUUGACCCG
rnacentral:rRNA from 1 species